rnacentral:rRNA from 1 species
UACGUAGGGUGCAAGCGUUGUCCGGAAUUAUUGGGCGUAAAGAGCUUGUAGGCGGUUUGUCGCGUCUGCUGUGAAAUUUCGGGGCUCAACCCCGAACUUGCAGUGGGUACGGGCAGACUAGAGUGUGGUAGGGGAGACUGGAAUUCCUGGUGUAGCGGUGAAAUGCGCAGAUAUCAGGAGGAACACCUGUGGUGUAGACAGCUUACUGGACCACGACUGACGCUGAGACACGAAAGCGUGGGUAGCAAACAGG